rnacentral:rRNA from 1 species
CCUGACUGCUAUCGGAUUGAUACUGAGCCAUGCGAGUCAUUGUAGCAAUACAAGGCAUACGGCUCAGUAACGCGUAGUCAACCUAACCUAUGGACGGGAAUAACCUCGGGAAACUGAGAAUAAUGCCCGAUAGAACACUAUACCUGGAAUGGUUUGUGUUCCAAAUGAUUUAUCGCCAUAGGAUGGGACUGCGGCCUAUCAGUUUGUUGGUGAGGUAAUGGCCCACCAAGACUAUUACAGGUACGGGCUCUGAGAGGAGUAGCCCGGAGAUGGGUACUGAGACACGGACCCAGGCCCUAUGGGGCGCAGCAGGCGAGAAAACUUUGCAAUGUGCGAAAGCACGACAAGGUUAAUCCGAGUGAUUUGUGCUAAACGAAUCUUUUGUUAGUCCUAGAAACACUAACGAAUAAGGGGUGGGCAAGUUCUGGUGUCAGCCGCCGCGGUAAAACCAGCACCUCAAGUGGUCAGGAUGAUUAUUGGGCCUAAAGCAUCCGUAGCCGGCUCUGUAAGUUUUCGGUUAAAUCUGUACGCUUAACGUACAGGCUGCCGGGAAUACUGCAGAGCUAGGGAGUGGGAGAGGUAGACGGUACUCGGUAGGAAGUGGUAAAAUGCUUUGAUCUAUCGAUGACCACCUGUGGCGAAGGCGGUCUACCAGAACACGUCCGACGGUGAGGGAUGAAAGCUGGGGGAGCAAACCGGAUUAGAUACCCGGGUAGUCCCAGCUGUAAACUAUGCAAACUCAGUGAUGCAUUGGCUUGUGGCCAAUGCAGUGCUGCAGGGAAGCCGUUAAGUUUGCCGCCUGGGAAGUACGUACGCAAGUAUGAAACUUAAAGGAAUUGGCGGGGGAGCACCACAAGGGGUGAAGCCUGCGGUUC